rnacentral:rRNA from 1 species
UACAGAGGUCUCAAGCGUUGUUCAGAUUCAUUGGGCGUAAAGGGUGCGUAGGCGGCGCGGUAAGUCGGGUGUGAAAUCUCGGGGCUUAACUCCGAAACUGCAUUCGAUACUGCGUGCUUGAGGACUGGAGAGGAGACUGGAAUUCAUGGUGUAGCAGUGAAAUGCGUAGAGUAUCAUGAGGAAGACCAGUGGCGAAGGCGGGU